AACAGAGCAUAUACCACUAGGUAAAAACUUAAAUAACAUGGCGGUAAUUAUAAACAUUAGGGGAACUUACCAUAUAAAUGAUACCCACCACGCAAACUAACUUUAAGUAAAAUUCUGUAUGCCGCCGUCGUCAGGUAAAAUUUAAAAUCUUUACCUUAAAAUAACAUAUAAAAAGACAGGUCAAGGUGCAAACUAUCUUAAAGAUAUGGCGAGUUACAUUAGCAAAUAGCUUCCAUUAUGUAUGAAAAACCUAUACUGGCCGGACUUAAAAGUAAGUUAUAAUAAACUUAUUUACUGAAUAAAUAUAUA
rnacentral:rRNA from 1 species